UUAAGUUGAGGAAUUCUAAUAUACCUGCAGAAAGCUGUCCGUUAGCAUUACCAUUCAUUUCGGCGGCUGCUGCUUGGCUGGUGGAAUUACACAGCCUGCAUGCUGCCAUCUUUGCUGCAGUUGGAAAGGUUUUUUUUUUUUUUUGAUGAUCCACUCACCAGGAGCCAGUUACACCAGCAAUCUUGCACUGAAGAAACUUUUGCUGAAAACACUAACCAGAUAUCUCUUGAAAAAAACAACGAAUAAGACUCCUGCAGCACACGAGUAGUUGAAGGCAGUGGACGAGGACUUGAGCGCCGGCCAGAUUUGACAAAGCAAUGGGUCAUCAUCCGCAAACAAUCCCAGCACGGGCUGCCAUCUGUUUAUGGGAGAGGACAGAACACGGAUUCCUACAGUGUGAUAGUCUAUGACCCAUACUUGAGCACUUCUCAAUGUGUACUACAGAUUAGAGGUUGUUCAUUGAUAUGACAUUUCCAGUCUAAAUUGGGAAUAAAUAGUGCAAGGAUUCUAUUUUAGAUGAAUAAAU